rnacentral:rRNA from 1 species
AUUGAACGCUGGCGGCAGGCCUAACACAUGCAAGUCGGACGGUAGCACAGAGAGCUUGCUCUCGGGUGACGAGUGGCGGACGGGUGAGUAAUGUCUGGGGAUCUGCCCGAUAGAGGGGGAUAACCACUGGAAACGGUGGCUAAUACCGCAUAACGUCGCAAGACCAAAGAGGGGGACCUUCGGGCCUCUCACUAUCGGAUGAACCUAGAUGGGAUUAGCUAGUAGGCGGGGUAACGGCCCACCUAGGCGACGAUCCCUAGCUGGUCUGAGAGGAGGUCCAGCCACAAUGGAACUGGGACACGAUCCAGGCUCCUACGGGAGGCAGCAGUGGGGAAUAUUGCACAAUGGGCGCAAUCAUGAGGCAGCCAUGCCACGUGUAUGAAGAAGGCCUUCGGGUUGUAAAGUACUUGCAGCGGGGAGGAAGGCGAUGUGGUUAAUAACCGUAUCGAUUGACGUUACCCGCAGAAGAAGCACCGGCUAACUCCGUGCCAGCAGCCGCCGUAA